GAUGAACGCUGGCGGCGUGCUUAACACAUGCAAGUCGAACGGAAAGGCCCCAGCUUGCUGGGGUGCUCGAGUGGCGAACGGGUGAGUAACACGUAAGUGAUCUGCCCUGCACUGGGGGAUAAGCUUGGGAAACUGGGUCUAAUACCCUAUAGGACCGCAUCGUGGUUGGUGUGGUGGAAAGGUUUUUCUGGUGUGGGAUGAGCUUGCGGCCUAUCAGCUUGUUGGUGGGGUAAUGGCCUACCAAGGCGGCGACGGGUAGCCGGCCUGAGAGGGUGUGCGGCCACAUUGGGACUGAGAUACGGCCCAGACUCCUACGGGAGGCAGCAGUGGGGAAUUUUGCACAAUGGGCGGAAGCCUGAUGCAGCGACGCCGUGUGGGGGAUGAAGGCCUUCGGGUUGUAAACUCCUUUCGUCAG
rnacentral:rRNA from 1 species